ACAUAGACAUGGGGUGAAAUCCUGGCCUCACUGAAUUCAACGGGAGCUUUACCAUUAACUUUAAUGAGGCCAGGAUCUCACCUACCAAAUAUCCACAGACAUGAUGAAAACUGUUAUUUAUUAUUAUUUGAAUUAUUGUAGAGCCUAAUAUCCCUGUCACACACACUCCUUAGGAAGCAAUCAGGUAUCGAUGUGAGAGACAUGAACUGCAUGGCUGAAUGUAUAGGCGUCUCAGCCCGUAAUCGUUCCUGGACAAGAUAAUGCAGUGGCUGAUAUCGGACUCGAUUAAUAAAGAAUUAAAGGAUGGUAAUGUAAUUAAUAUAAAUCAACAUGGUUUUGUGGAAAACAGAUCCUGACAAACUAACCUG